rnacentral:rRNA from 1 species
GACGAACGCUGGCGGCGUGCUUAACACAUGCAAGUCGAACGGAAAGGCCCUGCUUUUGUGGGGUGCUCGAGUGGCGAACGGGUGAGUAACACGUGAGUAACCUGCCCUUGACUUUGGGAUAACUUCAGGAAACUGGGGCUAAUACCGGAUAGGAGCUCCUGCUGCAUGGUGGGGGUUGGAAAGUUUCGGCGGUUGGGGUUGGAUUCGCGGCUUAUCAGCUUGUUGGUGGGGUAGUGGCUUACCAAGGCUUUGACGGGUAGCCGGCCUGAGAGGGUGACCGGCCACAUUGGGACUGAGAUACGGCCCAGACUCCUACGGGAGGCAGCAGUGGGGAAUAUUGCACAAUGGGCGGAAGCCUGAUGCAGCAACGCCGCGUGCGGGAUGACGGCCUUCGGGUUGUAAACCGCUUUCGCCUGUGACGAAGCGUGAGUGACGGUAAUGGGUAAAGAAGCACCGGCUAACUACGUG